UCUGGGGCCGUCUUCUCAGCCAUCUCCUGCCUCUGGGCCCUGCCAACACCAUUUUUGUGGUUAUCUCCUUCUUGCCGACCAACCAUGAGCUCCCAGAUUUGUCAGAAUUAUUCCACUGACAUGGAGGCAGCUGUCAACUGCCUGGUCAAUUUGUACCUGCAGGCCUCCUACACGUACUUCUCUCUGGGCUUCUAUUUUGACUGCAAUGAUGUGGCUCUGGAAGGCAUGAGCCACUUCUUCAGUGAACUGGUCGAGAAGCGCGAGGGUUACCAGCAUCUCCUGUAAAUGCAAAACCAGUGUGGCAGCCCCGCUCUCUUCCAGGACAUCAAGAAGCCAGCUCAAGAUGAGUGGGAUAAAACCCUGGACGCCAUGAAAGCCGCCAUGGCUCUGGAGAAAAAUCUGAACUAGGGGAUCUUCAUGGCCUGGGUUUUGCCCACAAGGACCCCCAUCUCUGUGACUUCCUGGAGAGUCACUUCCUAGAUGAGGAAGUGAAACUCAUCAGGAAGAUAGUUGACCAUCUGACCAACCUCCAUAGACUGGCCUGCCCGGAGGCUGUCCUAGGCGAGUUUCUCUUUGAAAGGCUCACUCUCAAGCACAACUAAGAGUCUACUGCGCCUAGCGGCUUCUGAAGGACCCCUGGCAAAGUAACAGCGCUUCUUCCUAAGCCUCUCCCUCCAGCCACUAGGCAGUUUUCCAACUACCCUAACAAGCCUUGGACCAAAUGGAAAUAAAGCUUUUUGA